rnacentral:rRNA from 1 species
GAUGAACGCUGGCGGCGUGCCUAAUACAUGCAAGUCGAGCGGACCAAAGAGAGCUUGCUCUCUGAGGUUAGCGGCGGACGGGUGAGUAACACGUGGGUAAUCUGCCUGUUAGUGGGGGAUAACUCGGGGAAACUCGGGCUAAUACCGCAUACGUCCUACGGGAGAAAGUGGGGGAUCUUCGGACCUCACGCUAACAGAUGAGCCUAGGUCGGAUUAGCUAGUAGGUGAGGUAAUGGCUCACCUAGGCGACGAUCCGUAACUGGUCUGAGAGGAUGAUCAGUCACACUGGAACUGAGACACGGUCCAGACUCCUACGGGAGGCAGCAGUAGGGAAUAUUGGGCAAUGGACGCAAGUCUGACCCAGCCAUGCCGCGUGCAGGAUGACGGCCCUCUGGGUUGUAAACUGCUUUUAUACGGGAAGAAAAGUUGCUACGUGUAGCAAAAUCGACGGUACCGUAAGAAUAAGGAUCGGCUAACUCCGUGCCAGCCGCCGCCGUAA